GUCUUUUUGAUUAAUAAUUUAAAGUCUGGCCUGCCCACUGAAAUAUUUGAAGGGCCGCAGUAUUAAUUGUGCUAAGGUAGCAUAGUAAAUAGUCUUUUAAUUGGGGACUAGAAUGAAUGGUUAGACGAAAUAUCUAUUGUUUUUUAUUUAAAUAUAUAGAAUUUAUUAUUUUAAUUAAAAAAUUAAAAUUUUAUAAAAAGACGAGAAGACCCUAUAGAUCUUUAUAUAAAUUAUAAAAGUUUAAUUUAUAUUUUGUUGGGGUGAUUAAAAAAUUUAUUUAACUUUUGGAAAUAUUUUACAUUAAUUUAUGAUUUAAUUUAUUAUGAUCUAUUUUUAUAAAUAAAGAUGAAAGAUACCUUAGGGAUAACAGCGUAAUUUUAAUUUUAAGUUCUUAUUAAAAUUAAAGAUUGCGACCUCGAUGUUGGAUUAAAAUUAAUUUUAAAUGUAGCCGUUUAAUAAUUAGGUCUGUUCGACCUUUAAAUUUUU
rnacentral:rRNA from 1 species